GAUUAGGUAUUAUUUAGAAGGAGCAAACAAAACAGUAUAUUUCUUGAUUAAAUGGGAUAUUUUUGUUUGCCUUUUCUAAUUCUAUUUUUCUAUUUUGUUUUAGUAGACGUAGCUAUAUUAAAAUUUUCUGUCUUAGUUGUUAUCCAUAUUAGAAUAUUGUUUUAAUUAAUAUGCAAGAAUGUGAAGAGAAGAAAAAGCCUGAAAAGUCAAGUCAAUAGAACUGAUAUAUGAGAAAAGCUAGAAUAUUGUGUUGCUUGCCCAACUUUUACUUUUCCAACCAUAUAAAUCUCUUGUUUCUCAAACAAGCUGCUGCAUCAACCAUUUCCCAUGUCUGUGAAGAAGCCUCUUUCUUGAAAGAAAGAGGCUGUGAAAAAGGAUGAUGGGAGGAAACCUUCAAAACGCAGGCGUUUCCCCUUCAGGGAGAUAUCUAUAGAGCCUCGAGGUUCAUCCCUGACAGACGUGGACUCAAAUGACUUGAAAGCAAAGAUUGUGAGAUGGGCCAAAGCUGUUGUUGCUUAUGCCCGCCAAGUCAGUGGAAAAUUCGGAAGCUCGAGAAGUAGUCGUAAGUCUGGAGGUGAAAACUCUCCCAGAGCAUAACUCUUUAAGCCUAAAGUUUGAGAUACCAUAGUUUCUGAAGAACAAAAUACCAAAAGCCACAGAAUGAAUUACAGCAGAAAUAAUUUAAAAUGUCCUUGAGGAAACACUCAAUUUACAAGAAGAUGAGGAAACUCAAGACAGAAUCCUCUAUAAAAUAGAUACAUCACUGUCAUACAAGAUUCAUAAUUCUCCAGCAUCAGCUUCUGGUCAAUGACUAUACCUGUAAAUGUUGAUCUUCACUCCA